rnacentral:rRNA from 1 species
CGGGUAGAGUAAUGCGUGACCAACCUGCCCCAUGCUCCAGAAUAGCUCUUGGAAACGGGUGGUAAUGCUGGAUGCUCCAACUUGACGCAUGUCUUGUUGGGAAAGUGUUUAGUGGCAUGGGAUGGGGUCGCGUCCUAUCAGCUUGUAGGCGGGGUAAUGGCCCACCUAGGCUUCGACGGGUAGCCGGCCUGAGAGGGCGGACGGCCACAUUGGGACUGAGAUACGGCCCAGACUCCUACGGGAGGCAGCAGGC